UCGGCGAUAGCUCAGAGGUAGAGUACCGAAACGGUAAUUCGUACGCUGCGGGUUCAACUCCUGUUCGCGGAC
rnacentral:tRNA from 1 species